CCUACGGGUGGCAGCAGUGAGGAAUAUUGGUCAAUGGGCGCGAGCCUGAACCAGCCAAGUCGCGUGAAGGAUGGCUGCCCUACGGGUUGUAAACUUCUUUUAUAAAGGAAUAAAGUGAGGAACGUGUGCCUUUUUGUAUGUACUUUCUGAAUAAGGAUCGGCUAACUCCGUGCAAGCAGCCGCGGUAAUACGGAGGAUCCGAGCGUUAUCCGGAUUUAUGGGGUUUAAAGGGAGCGUAGAUGGGUUGUUAAGUCAGUUGUGAAAGUUUGCGGCUCAACCGUAAAAUUGCAAUUGAUACUGGCAGCCUUGAGUACAGUUGAGGUAGGCGGAAUUCGUGGUGUAGCGGUGAAAUGCUUAGAUAUCACGAAGAACACCGAUUGCGAAGGCAGCCUACUAAACUGCCACUGACAUUGAUGCUCGAAAGUGUGGGUAUCAAACAGGAUUAGAUACCCGAGUAGUC
rnacentral:rRNA from 1 species